rnacentral:rRNA from 1 species
UACGGAGGGGUUAGCGUGUUCGGAAGUUACUGGCGUAAGCGCACGUAGGCGGAUUGGAAAGUUGGGGGUGGAAAUCCCCAGGGCUCAAACCCUGGAACGUGCCUCCAAAACUACCCAGUCUGGAGUUCGAGAGAGGUGAGUGGAAUUCCGAGUGUAGAGGUGAAAUUCGUAGAUAUUCGGAGGAACACCAGUGGCGAAGGCGGCUCACUGGCUCGAUACUGACGCUGAGGUGCGAAAGUGUGGGGAGCAAACAGGAUUAGAUACCCGCGUAGU